CUUUGAUAAGCUAAUAAGGUAGCAUCAAACUCUUAAUUUGAACCUAAGUGCCCCCCACCCACUAUCAAAGA
rnacentral:tRNA from 1 species